rnacentral:lncRNA from 1 species
GUGAUGACUACGACCACUAUGGCGAUCCGUAUGAGUGAGGUCACGUGGACUACAUCGACUGCAUGUGGCUGAGAUGGAGUCGCUACGUAUUGUAUUUUCCGCUGUUUUCUGAUUGUAAUAAAUGUCAUGAGACAUUUUUCAAUGUAUGCCUUUGGGCAAUAUGUAAUAAAAUAAUUUUACGUAUUGUGCAAUGAUAACAUUUCGCUGUGUUGUCAAC